UACGAAGGGGGCAAGCGUUGUCCGGAAUCACUGGGUUUAAAGGGUGCGUAGGUGGGUCUGUAAGUCAGUGGUGAAAUCUCCGUGCUUAACAUGGAACUGCCAUUGAUACUAUAGGUCUUGAAUUUUCUGGAGGUCAGCGGAAUAUGUCAUGUAGCGGUGAAAUGCUUAGAUAUGACAUAGAACACCAAUUGCGAAGGCAGCUGGCUACAGGGAUAUUGACACUGAGGCACGAAAGCGUGGGGAUCAAACAGG
rnacentral:rRNA from 1 species